rnacentral:rRNA from 1 species
AGUGAACGCUGGCGGUAGGCCUAACACAUGCAAGUCGAACGGCAGCACAGUAAGAGCUUGCUCUUACGGGUGGCGAGUGGCGGACGGGUGAGGAAUACAUCGGAAUCUACUUUUUCGUGGGGGAUAACGUAGGGAAACUUACGCUAAUACCGCAUACGGCCUACGGGUGAAAGCAGGGGAUCUUCGGACCUUGCGCGAUUGAAUGAGCCGAUGUCGGAUUAGCUAGUUGGCGGGGUAAAGGCCCACCAAGGCGACGAUCCGUAGCUGGUCUGAGAGGAUGAUCAGCCACACUGGAACUGAGACACGGUCCAGACUCCUACGGGAGGCAGCAGUGGGGAAUAUUGGACAAUGGGCGCAAGCCUGAUCCAGCCAUACCGCGUGGGUGAAGAAGGCCUUCGGGUUGUAAAGCCCUUUUGUUGGGAAAGAAAAGCAGCAGGUUAAUACCCCGCUGUUCUGACGGUACCCAGAAUAAGCACCGGCUAACUUCGUG